rnacentral:rRNA from 1 species
AAACCGCAUGGUUUUGAUUUGAAAGGCGCUUUCGGGUGUCGCUGAUGGAUGGACCCGCGGUGCAUUAGCUAGUUGGUGAGGUAACGGCUCACCAAGGCCACGAUGCAUAGCCGACCUGAGAGGGUGAUCGGCCACAUUGGGACUGAGACACGGCCCAAACUCCUACGGGAGGCAGCAGUAGGGAAUCUUCGGCAAUGGACGAAAGUCUGACCGAGCAACGCCGCGUGAGUGAAGAAGGUUUUCGGAUCGUAAAACUCUGUUGUUAGAGAAGAACAAGGAUGAGAGUAACUGUUCAUCCCUUGACGGUAUCUAACCAGAAAGCCACGGCUAACUACGUGCCAGCAGCCGCGGUAAUACGUAGGUGGCAAGCGUUGUCCGGAUUUAUUGGGCGUAAAGCGAGCGCAGGCGGUUUCUUAAGUCUGAUGUGAAAGCCCCCGGCUCAACCGGGGAGGGUCAUUGGAAACUGGGAGACUUGAGUGCAGAAGAGGAGAGUGGAAUUCCAUGUGUAGCGGUGAAAUGCGUAGAUAUAUGGAGGAACACCAGUGGCGAAGGCGGCUCUCUGGUCUGUAACUGACGCUGAGGCUCGAAAGCGUGGGGAGCAAACAGGAUUAGAUACCCUGGUAGUCCACGCCGUAAACGAUGAGUGCUAAGUGUUGGAGGGUUUCCGCCCUUCAGUGCUGCAGCUAACGCAUUAAGCACUCCGCCUGGGGAGUACGACCGCAAGGUUGAAACUCAAAGGAAUUGACGGGGGCCCGCACAAGCGGUGGAGCAUGUGGUUUAAUUCGAAGCAACGCGAAGAACCUUACCAGGUCUUGACAUCCUUUGACCACUCUAGAGAUAGAGCUUCCCCUUCGGGGGCAAAGUGACAGGUGGUGCAUGGUUGUCGUCAGCUCGUGUCGUGAGAUGUUGGGUUAAGUCCCGCAACGAGCGCAACCCUUAUUGUUAGUUGCCAUCAUUCAGUUGGGCACUCUAGCAAGACUGCCGGUGACAAACCGGAGGAAGGUGGGGAUGACGUCAAAUCAUCAUGCCC